rnacentral:rRNA from 1 species
UACGAAGGGGGCUAGCGUUGCUCGGAAUGACUGGGCGUAAAGGGCGCGUAGGCGGUUUGGUUAGUUAGACGUGAAAUUCCUGGGCUCAACCUGGGGACUGCGUUUAAUACAGCCAGACUUGAGUGUGGAAGAGGGUUGUGGAAUUCCCAGUGUAGAGGUGAAAUUCGUAGAUAUUGGGAAGAACACCGGUGGCGAAGGCGGCAACCUGGUCCAUUACUGACGCUGAGGCGCGAAAGCGUGGGGAGCAAACAGG